UACUUUUUCUCCAUAGGUAAGUGAUUUGAUUGUGGAACCUUAAUUUGUCUUAGCUUAGACGGAUCAAAUUUUUUGAUAUUAGUAUGUUUCUUUAAAUCGCCGUUGUUGUUAGCAUAAUAUUUUCGAAGUCAAGCCCGUGUGCUCUAAACAAGACAUUCGAGGUUAAAAGUACAGUUCCGUUUAGUGAGCCUUUCACGGUAGAUCCUGAGAAUCCUCCACCGGAGCAAGACUACAAUGAGUAUUUCAAGAAUCUGAAAGAUGGAAUCACCGGUAAAGAAGCUUUUGAACAGAGCACUGUGCAGUUUAAACCAGGAAAUUGAAGGCUGCUAAAGGUGCUUUCGAUACCAGUCUUGACAAUGGUAUUGAUUUUUUCGAUACCGCUGAAGUUUAUGGUUCCAAGUUUUCUCUGGGUGUUAUAAGCUCUGAAACUCUUUUAGGAAGGUUCAUCCGUGAGAGAAAAGAGAGAUUUUACGGAGCUGAGAUUUCAGUUGCAACAAAGUUUGCUGCAUUGCCAUGGCGAUUGGGUCGUGAAAGUGUUAUCACUGCCCUUAAAGAUUCCCUUUCCCUGCUCGAGCUUUCAUAUGUAGAUCUCUAUCAACUCCAUUGAUUUUUACAAGCUACUUGAGGAAGAUUAACUUAAACAGAGUCUUACAAUCGACAUUAUGCUUUCCUCUGAAUUCCCUGUUGUAUGAUUGAAUGGAAUUUUCUCAAACUUGAGGUGUGCGUUUGGAUUUUCGGUAACCACAAAAAUUAAAAUCACUUCUUCAUUUAGUUCAAGAGAGUUAUAUUAGUUAGGUUCAAGAGAAACAUACAUGACGGCGGCGUAAGUGAUCGUAACCCUAAUCUAAGAAGUAACCACCGUGGAUUGUUCACACACGUUUCAUUUGCCGAGAGAGAGAGAUUUGUGUUUAUGAUAUUUCAAAACUAUUGGACUGAUUCGGAGAGGCGCUGAUUUGUUGGAGUGGAAGGUGAAAUCAAGAUUAAGCGUGGGUUUGGUUUUUGUUUCAUCUUUUAUUUGAUUUCUUCUAGAGAGAUAUGUAAUAUCUAUGUAAAAACCGAUGAAUUAAUUAAUUUGAUACGUAUUUGAUUAUGUUUUUA